CCGGCGCGGGUGAGUAACGCGUAUGCAACCUACCUACUACAGGGGAAUAGCCCGAAGAAAUUCGGAUUAAUGCCGCAUAAUACAGGGGCACCGCAUGGUGAUAUUUGUUAAAGAUUAAUUGGUAGUAGAUGGGCAUGCGUUCCAUUAGCCAGUUGGUGAGGUAACGGCUCACCAAAGCAACGAUGGAUAGGGGAACUGAGAGGUUUAUCCCCCACACUGGUACUGAGACACGGACCAG
rnacentral:rRNA from 1 species